rnacentral:rRNA from 1 species
GUAACCUGCCCAGAAGCGGGGGACAACAUUUGGAAACAGAUGCUAAUACCGCAUAACAACGUUGUUCGCAUGAACAACGCUUAAAAGAUGGCUUCUCGCUAUCACUUCUGGAUGGACCUGCGGUGCAUUAGCUUGUUGGUGGGGUAACGGCCUACCAAGGCGAUGAUGCAUAGCCGAGUUGAGAGACUGAUCGGCCACAAUGGGACUGAGACACGGCCCAUACUCCUACGGGAGGCAGCAGUAGGGAAUCUUCCACAAUGGGCGCAAGCCUGAUGGAGCAACACCGCGUGAGUGAAGAAGGGUUUCGGCUCGUAAAGCUCUGUUGUUAAAGAAGAACACGUAUGAGAGUAACUGUUCAUACGUUGACGGUAUUUAACCAGAAAGUCACGGCUAACUACGUGCCAGCAGCCGCGGUAAUACGUAGGUGGCAAGCGUUAUCCGGAUUUAUUGGGCGUAAAGAGAGUGCAGGCGGUUUUCUAAGUCUGAUGUGAAAGCCUUCGGCUUAACCGGAGAAGUGCAUCGGAAACUGGAUAACUUGAGUGCAGAAGAGGGUAGUGGAACUCCAUGUGUAGCGGUGGAAUGCGUAGAUAUAUGGAAGAACACCAGUGGCGAAGGCGGCUACCUGGUCUGCAACUGACGCUGAGACUCGAAAGCAUGGGUAGCGAACAGGAUUAGAUAC